ACGAACGCUGGCGGCAGGCUUAACACAUGCAAGUCGAACGGGUGUCGCAAGACACCAGUGGCAGACGGGUGAGUAACACGUGGGAACCUUCCUAGGGGUACGGAACAACUCGGGGAAACUUGAGCUAAUACCGUAUACGUCCGUAAGGAGAAAGAUUCAUCGCCCCUAGACGGGCCCGCGUCGGAUUAGGUAGUUGGUGGGGUAACGGCCUACCAAGCCUACGAUCCGUAGCUGAUCUGAGAGGAUGAUCAGCCACACUGGGACUGAGACACGGCCCAGACUCCUACGGGAGGCAGCAGUGGGGAAUCUUGCGCAAUGGGCGAAAGCCUGACGCAGCGACGCCGCGUGAGGGAUGACGGCCUUCGGUUGU
rnacentral:rRNA from 1 species